rnacentral:lncRNA from 1 species
ACCUAGUCAAUUUUGAUUGAUGUCUAAGAAAAGCAACGAAGAGACCCCCACUCGUCCUAACUUCUAACUUACCUGACCAUCUUGGGAGAUUUAGUUUCAUGUUAGGUUACUUAUUGACUCGAGUUCACCCAUGCCGACUAGGCUGGUUAGACAUGUUGAUGUACCGACCUAAAUUUGAUUAGUCAAAUGUCAGAUCUGCUAAUUUAGAGAAGACCUAAACCUAAAUCUCCUC